rnacentral:rRNA from 1 species
UACGUAGGGGGCUAGCGUUGUCCGGAAUCAUUGGGCGUAAAGAGCGUGUAGGCGGUCCGGUAAGUCCGCUGUGAAAGUCGGGGGCUCAACCCUCGAAUGCCGGUGGAUACUGUCGGGCUAGAGUGCGGAAGAGGCGAGUGGAAUUCCUGGUGUAGCGGUGAAAUGCGCAGAUAUCAGGAGGAACAUCGGUGGCGAAAGCGCUCUGCUGGACUGCAACUGACACUCAGGGACGAAAGGCUAGGGGAGCGAAUGGG